UUAAAAGCUAUGAUGAGGACGAGUAAGUAGAAGCGACUUCCAGAGAGUUGGCGGUAGGUGCGAGCCAAUAAGUUCGUUUCUACUGAAAAUCACCUCGGAGCUGCAGGCUGAACUACAGUAAGCUGUGCCGGGCUUCCCGUUAUCUUAAAUGAGAGAUUAAGGCAAAGUUUUUCUUUGUCUUAAUAAGUAGGGUGGUACCGCGAACUUCUCGUCCCUGAC
rnacentral:ncRNA from 1 species